rnacentral:rRNA from 1 species
GACGAACGCUGGCGGCGUGCUUAACACAUGCAAGUCGAACGGAAAGGCCCUGCUUUUGUGGGGUGCUCGAGUGGCGAACGGGUGAGUAACACGUGAGUAACCUGCCCUUGACUUUGGGAUAACUUCAGGAAACUGGGGCUAAUACCGGAUAGGAGCUCCUGCUGCAUGGUGGGGGUUGGAAAGUUUCGGCGGUUGGGGAUGGACUCGCGGCUUAUCAGCUUGUUGGUGGGGUAGUGGCUUACCAAGGCUUUGACGGAUAGCCGGCCUGAGAGGGUGACCGGCCACAUUGGGACUGAGAUACGGCGCAGACGCGUACGGGAGGCAGCAGUGGGGAAUAUUGCACAGUGGGCGGAAGCCUGAUGCAGCGACGCCGCGUGCGGGAUGACGGCCUUCGGGUGGUAAACCGCUUUCGCCUGUGACGAAGCGUGAGUGACGGUAAUGGGUAAAGAAGCACCGGCUAACUACGUG